ACUCGACUGCAUGAAGCUGGAAUCGCUAGUAAUCGCGAAUCAGAAUGUCGCGGUGAAUACGUUCCCGGGCCUUGUACACACCGCCCGUCACACCAUGGGAGUUGGAAGCACCCGAAGUCGGUGACCUGACCGAAAGGGAGGAGCCGCCGAAGGUGAAGCCAGCGACUGGGGUGAAGUCGUAACAAGGUAGC
rnacentral:rRNA from 1 species